AUCGGCACCGUGCGGAGCAGACCCAAACACACCUCUGGGCUGCCUUAACAGACUGAACAGCCUAAUCGUGUUGAAAACAACACUCACUGUAAUGUUCAGAGCCCCACACAUUCAGGUUGUCUAUAAUCGCCAUAGCAUAACAUCCCUGUGGUUUAAUGUAGUAAACAUUUAAAAUGGCAUUAUGAGCAGUAUUGAACGUGUUUAAUUAGCAGUUCAGUUUGCAUAUAUUCAGACCUCUAUAGAUCCUCGAACCCCAGUGGAAAGCCCAUUGAAAAGUAUAUAUGAUUCUUGUUCAUUAGUCACAUGCUGUUUCUUCUCUAGAGGUGCUGACCUAGGCAGUUCAUUUACCCCCUACAUACUCCCUGUUUACAACGCCCUGUGCCAUGCACAGCAUUAGGAGAGACCUGAAGCCGUCCCCAGCUUGGGAGUGGGACGCCUUGAGAAAUGGACGCCCUCAAAAGCCCUGACAAGUAUACCACACCAAGGAGUGAGGACUUUGUUUUUAUGUCUCACAUUUAAAAAAUCUGUAUUGUUUCUGCAUAGAGUUAUGGCAGGGUGUGAAUUAGGGGUUGAAGUCAUGGUAAUGGGUUCGAUUAGAAUCAGGGUUACAUGUAUGUAUACGGUUAGGAAGUUUGUGGUUUAGCUACGGUAAGAUUUAUGGUUAGUUAAAACAGUAUUUUCAUUGUAAAUCAGGUGUAAACCCCAAUACUGGCCAGACAAUUACAGCAAAACAUAUGAGGGUAAAGUUAGGCUCAGGAAAAUGUAAAAUAUAUUCCAGGGUCAGGGUAAGGUCUCAAGGUCCCACAUGGAAGGAAAAAUAAACAAACACCAUGAAAGAAAGGUGCGUGUGAGUGUGUGUGUGUGUGUGUUAUUGACAUCAUGAAUAUGCAUACACCCUGUAAAACACAGAAAAUGAGUUCAGCCCUCAGCGCCAUUCUACUGCUUCCAUGUGGUAAAUUGUUGUAAAUGCAUUUACACUGUAGUCAGUCCUGUCUAGAACAUGCAGUAAGAGACAUAUAGAUGUAUUGCCAUCUACUGGCCCCCUUCAGCAAUGGUCUCCCCUGCAUGAACAAACUGAUACCAGGUAUUUGACCAGGUCAGCUGAUUGAGACAGAGUGGCCAAUGGUUCUCUGAGCUUUUAUAAUACUAUAAUACAAGAUGGUCUCAACCAUGCAGCUGUAGAGGUUUUGGAGGAUCUUAGGGCUCAUACAUUUUUAUGAGCCCUUAGGCCCUGAUCUCAGGCCCUGAUCUUAGGGUCCAGUUGAAGAGGGAGGUGUUCAGUCUCAGGGUCCAGUGGAAGAGGGAGGUGUUCAGUCUCAGGGUCCAGUUGAAGAGGGCGGUGUUCAAUCUCAGGGUCCAGUGGAAGAGGGAGGUGUUCAGUCUCAAGGUCCAGUGGAAGAGGGAGGUGUUCAGUCUCAGGGUCCAGUGGAAGAGGGAGGUGUUCAGUCUCAGGGUCCAGUGGAAGAGGGAGGUGUUCAGUCUCAGGGUCCAGUGGAAGAGGGAGGUGUUCAGUCUCAGGGUCCAGUUGAAGAGGGCGGUGUUCA
ensembl:lncRNA